CUGCCACAGCAUCAGUCACACGCUCCAGCCCCUACUGCCCCAUGCCCGCCUCGAGUGAGCGGCCACCAGAGACCCAGGGAACAUGGCUCCCACUGCCCUGCUGGCCACGGCUAGACCUGGGCUUCUCAGCCUUAUCCUGGGGAUGUUCUGGGGCAGACAGUUGUCUGUCAUGGGCCCGUCCUGUGCACUGCAAGACACGGACCUGUGUCCCUCCCCUCUGCCUACUGAUGCCAGCAGCACCUACCUCCAGUUCUAGCAGCCACAAAGGUAUCUACACAUGUCCACAUGUCCCCUAGGGUCUGGCUGGACUAAAGGCAAAACUAAAGCCCAGAAGACAGACCAGUGCACCGGAUGCCCGUACCGCGUGAUGGCCAGGAAGGCCCGGCUGUGCAGCUCCUGCUUGAUGGCGCUUUGCAGACGGUAGGCGUGCCCAUGGCAUGAGGCAUCCCCAUAGCUGGCCAGCAGGGUCACCAGCAGAAAAAGCAUGUACACCAGGAGGCUCUGGUGGACGGGGGGGCCCUGUGGUCAGCCUGGCCCCAGCCCACAGUGACAGCAGGGCUUUGGCAACGGCUGGAGCCAUGGCUGCGGCAGGUGUGGCUGCAGGAAGGAGUGCUGGACCUGAGGGACAUGGUAGGCUGUGAAUUCAUCCCGGCCUCCAGGAGGCAGUUGCAGCCAAGCCCAUGUUAACCUGGGCGGGCAGUUUCUUGAGCCUCUUGGGUCACAGGGUCCCCCCGACAAAAAGCCGGAAGACCCUACCCCAAACGAGAGUGGGAGUGGUGCUGGGAGCCAGGGAACCAAGAGCCACUCCAGGCACCGAAGUCAGGCGUCCGCCUGCGUCCCUCUCCCGCCCGCUUGCUGCUGAUAAACCCAUCGCCCACAGCCUGACCAGCUGCCCUUACAGCAGUGCACAGUCUCUCAGGGUGCAAUGAGCCCCCCUUCAACCCUGCAAACUAUGAUUGGGUCUCAACCAUCCAACAAGCAUCUCUACAAUCUAGAGACGCCAGUGUGUCUGUCCCAUGCAGGUUUAUGGCCUAAAAUUAACUUCUGGACAAGGAAACAUAUGAAUGCCUUUCAAAUCCCAACAGUGUGUAGGGCUCCCUGAGGCCAGAGAUCUGCUUGUGUCUCCAGGAGCCAGUGACCACCGAGGCUGUGCCACUGCAUCGGGCCACCAUGCUGAUAUGCCCGGUCCCAGAGCUGCUAGAGAAGAGGUACAGAGGCAGCGAAGACACGUUGAGGGGGAGGACGAGACCAACUGCGAGACGCCGAGUCCCGGGCUCUCAGGACGCUCUCCCGUACCUGCGCCCUCGUCAGCCCAUCACCGAAAGAACGGCCUGACCCAGGGUCACACUGCACUGAAUGCUUCCUGUUUUGCUGUCUCUCGGAGGAUAAAAGACACUCUUGGCUGGGCGCAGUGUCUCAAGCCU
rnacentral:lncRNA from 1 species